UCCUAAGCGUAAAUUGAUAUAUUCUACCAGAGUACUAUGAAUUCUAUAUUUAAAACUCAAAGGACUUGGCGGUGCUUUAGACUUCUUAGGGGAACCUGUUUCAUAAUCGACAGUCCACGUUGUACCUCUCCUUUUUUGUUGUCAGUUUGUAUACCGUCGUCGUCAGGUAACUUUUUAAAAUAUAAAAGUUAGCAAUAAAGUUUUAUAUAAGCUUUCACGUCAGAUCAAGGUGCAGCCUAUAAAAAGGUGAGAAUGGGUUACAAUUAAAAGUAAUAAUUACGGAGAAAGAAUGCAAUUUUAAUUUGAAGGAGGACUUAAAAGUAAGAAUAUUAUAAUACAGAUUUUCUGAAUUUAGCUCUGAAGCGUGC
rnacentral:rRNA from 1 species